UACGUAGGGGGCAAGCGUUGUCCGGAUUUACUGGGCGUAAAGAGCGCGCAGGCGGUCGUUCAAGUCGCGUGUGAAAGCCCCCGGCUCAACUGGGGAGGGUCACGCGAUACUGAUCGACUCGAAGGCAGGAGAGGGUAGUGGAAUUCCCGGUGUAGUGGUGAAAUGCGUAGAUAUCAGGAGGAACACCGGUGGCGAAGGCGCUCAUCUGGCCCAAUACUGACGCUGAGGCGCGAAAGCUAGGGGAGCAAACGGG
rnacentral:rRNA from 1 species